GCUGUGAUGGUACAGUGGUCAGUACUCUGUAUUGUGGCCGCAGCAACCUCGGUUCGAAUCUGAGUUAUGGCA
rfam:Callithrix jacchus chromosome 5, whole genome shotgun sequence